rfam:Talaromyces stipitatus strain ATCC 10500 mitochondrion, partial genome.
AAGAAAUUAGCUCAGCGGUAGAGCUGUCGCUUUACACGCGAAGGGUCAGGUGUUCGAAUCACCUAUUUCUUA